ensembl:lncRNA
AGUAGCAAUUCCUCCUUAAGGUCAGAGAUUGCAGCAUCUGAGGGCCUCUUCAAAAGAAGACAUAGUUGAUGAAGGCGUUCUGGAGCAGGGCCAGAAAGACCACGACCAAGCAGCCUUGAGAUCUUAGGCAGCGUCUCCCUCGGGUCCCUCUCUAUCUCCCCACACAUCUACCAACCACUGGAACACAUCUCCAAAGUUCUGCCGGGUCAGCUCAGCUUCCCCUCAGAAGAAGUUCCACCAGAUGAAGGAGCCUUUUGAGAGGCAGCUGGCAUCGUGAUUAGACUGUACUUUGGUCUGUUCCAAUCCAGUUUCAGCUCCAGAGACGGCAGGCGGGACGAGUCAACGGAGGCCGGGUGGACGAAGGCAUGCAGCUGAGUACAAUCCAGAAAACAACAGAGGAGGAGUACAGCGGCCCAGGGCCAGAACAAACAGAGUAGCAUGACCAAAGAACUACAGACUCUUCACAACCUGCUCAAACUCUUGGUACAGGACCUCACCACACAGGUCAAAAAGGUUUCCGUCUCAUUUCUACUCUGAAGCUCACCUUCUCCUGCUCAAACUGCUGACAAAUGUUUCUGCUGCUCUAAAGUCUGCUCUCCAGAACUUCCUAAAAACUCUCAAAGUCUCUUCUGCUGCAGGUUGCUUUGUAGAACUGUUCCAGAAAACCUCACUAAACCACAUGGAGGGGCCUCAAGAUAGUCGUCCAAAUGAAACUGUACAAAAACCAAACUAGCACAACCCAAACGCUAAAGUCUCCUGCAACCUACCAGAGAACCUCUGAGAACAGAGAAUCAGGACAGGAACUCUUACCUUCUGGACAACCAACGUUGGUUCUCAAACAAUACAGAAUGUGUCUGACCAAAAACCUCUAAAGACUCACUACAGCCAAGAUAAAGACACAACUCAGCUGCACCAAAUCCACUAAUCACUGCACACAUUAGCACCAUGUGCUAAGUGUGGCUAAAGAACCACAUUUACCAAGACAACUAUGCAGUACAAAGCCCUAAAACACACCAAGAAACACAUUAAAGAUGAUUUUACUGCUGGAAGCUGCAAGCCAACGCCUAAAGAACAAACUAAAGCAAAAGAGCCAAACCCGGUUCAGUGGUGAAGAGCAGAGGAAAUGUUUGUAGCUAAACAAAGCAGGAAGACACUGAGCUGCUCAGGUGUUCCUGAUAAUACCAAGCAGCCACCUGGACAGCCAAUAGGAACACAGCUUACUGGAAGUCCAGAGGGCUGGGUUAGUGAAGGAAAUUUAGUUUAAAGUUGAGGCAGAAAGUUAACAAAGAAAGUUGAAAACCACCUUCUGAUACCUGAAAUCUCUGAGUUUUCACACAAAGAACGCCUGAACAUGUCAAACUGGUUUCAUAGUAGAACCAUCAUUAUAAAAACAUCAUAGUAUGGUGUGUUGCUCAAAAAACAUUACGACCCAGCUGUCUAGGGUCGCCGAGGAGCAACACAAAAAGAGGGCAAACGCUGGUUUCCAGGGGGUUAGGUGGCUAUUUAUUUGAAAGAGUAAGUUUACAAUAACACAACAUGUGAACAAAAAAAUCAGUCUGUCUUUAGUUCAGCUGAAAAUAUUAGUUUUUGUCUUUUUUAUUGACCAAACUUUUCAGGAAGUAGUUGAAGAAUAAUUAAAGCUCUCAUGUAGAAGUCCAACUUAUUUUGGAUCCUUGUGGAGAGUUUAAUCUUAGAGUUUGUACAGCUGUUGAGUUUUUAGAGUCACAUGGAUUGUUUUGACAUUUAAUAAGGAAUAUUCCACCUAAAACCCCAAAUAUAGACCCGAAAGGGUGGUUUAGAAAAAAAUCCUUCAAUGUAGACCAAAAAAGUUAGUACGGAGGAAUAUUCUUCCUGUCAGGCUCGUGGUAGAACGGCUCUGAAGAAUCUUGUACUUGUCUUAUCUGGAACAAUCUAACAGCCUAAACUGUUAACAGCAGUGUAAAGAAGCAAACACACAGGCAUAGAUUAGGACUCAAACUAGAUUUAUUUUAGAAAACCAAUCAGCUUCGAGGCAUUUGUUCACACGUGGCUGAAUAGGAAGCCAUCCAAUCAGGUUAGAGGUCUUCACUCUGUAGGUUGGUUGUUCCGUGAGACUCUUGGACCUUCAUCAGCUGACGUGGAUGUUUGAUGGUCUUCCUCUCUAGUGCCAGAUGAAUCAUCCAUGAAUUCAGCAGCUACAGACUGAAAUGAAGCUCAUGCUGCUGUUAUUGAAUUCCUGUUCCAGAUCAAAUGUUCAGAGCUCACCUUGAAUGCAUGCCGUCUGCUGUCUGGAUAGUUUUUCUCAUUGUAGUCUUCAAUAAAGUCUUUUUCCUCAUGUCA